rnacentral:rRNA from 1 species
CACGUAGGGGGGCGAGCGUUUGUCCGGAUUUAUUGGGCGUAAAAGAGCUCGUAGGCGGUCUGUCGCGUCGGCUGUGAAAUCCCGAGGCUCAACCUCGGGUCUGCAGUCGAUACGGGCAAACUAGAGUAUUGCAGGGGAGACUGGAAUUCCUGGUGUAGCGGUGAAAUGCGCAGAUAUCAGGAAGAACACCAAUGGCGAAGGCAGCUCUCUGGGACGGUACUGACGCUGAGACGCGAAAGCGUGGGGAGCGAACAGG